rnacentral:tRNA from 1 species
GCCUGGGUGGCUCAGUCGGUGAAGCGUCCGACUUUGGCUCAGGUCAUGAUCUCACGGUCUGUGGGUUCAAGCCCCACGUCGGGCU